rnacentral:rRNA from 1 species
CCUACGGGAGACAGCAGUAGGGAAUCUUCCACAAUGGGCGAAAGCCUGAUGGAGCAACGCCGCGUGGGUGAAGAAGGUCUUCGGAUCGUAAAACCCUGUUGUUAGAGAAGAAAGUGCGUGAGUGUAACUGUUCACGUUUCGACGGUAUCUAACCAGAAAGCCCCGGCUAACUACGUGCCAGCAGCCGCGGUAAUACGUAGGGGGCAAGCGUUAUCCGGAUUUACUGGGCGUAAAGGGAACGCAGGCGGUCUUUUAAGUCUGAUGUGAAAGCCUGGGGCUUAACCGGAGUAGUGCAUUGGAAACUGGGAGACUAGAGUACAGAAGAGGAAGGUGGAAAUCCAUGUGUAGCGGUGAAAUGCGUAGAGAUAAGGAGGAACACCAGUGGCGAAGGCGGCCCUCUGG